AACUAAAACUUGCGCAAAUUUAAGCAUAAACAGUCCGUUAUAAAAUUCCCGCUCAAAGACAGUGUACGGUUGUAAUACUAAUAGCAACGCGCAUUAGCAUUUCAGUCCCAAGGGUCAGGCCUAAAGUUCACGUACCAGGACUGUACUCGUAUAAACGGUCAUCUGGCUUUCGUUGGCUCGUACAUAACAAGUGUAUACAGUUUCAAUCCGGGCUUUCGGGCUGUAUAGCUCCCAGGGUUUGGCGUGAUUUAUGGGAGUUUGACCAAAGUGUAUGGAGUAGGGUUCAGGGCCAGGUCAGCACUGUUACAAGAUCAAUGAAAAAUACGCGAACUAUAAAAGCCUUUUCUAAAACUAGGGUCAUUUGUAGACUAGUUUUUGUGUGUGAAAAAUAAGACAUUAUAUGGGUUGAAGAGCACGGGGACAUCAUGAUACUGUGUUCAAACUUUAUUAGUUUUACAUAUUACUCAACCUUAACAAACAUCGUUACUUUCUCCAGGUAGGCAGUACACAGGUUUGCUAUACGUGAGUGCACUGGCUGCUGGAUGUGGCAUGUUUUAACUUUUAACUUCAGCAGUCUUCGAGGGAAGAAGUUUCUAAUUAUUUUGAAGACCAACCCAUACAUCUCUUCAAGGUUGUUGCUGGGCCUGCAUGACAACUCGUCGAGUAGCAGAGGCCAAGGCGAGGGGAGGACAUAGCUUCAUUCUGGAAGUUUGCCCCACUAACAAGCCCGGAGGGCAAGAUUCAGGAAUCCUGCCAACCCUGCCAACGCUGUUCAGCCCGCCGACCCUGUCGACCCUGCAAACCCUGAAGAUGAUGAAUAACGACACUGCA